rnacentral:rRNA from 1 species
CCUAGCGUUGGAAAAGAAAAUACAACUUUCAGCAACGGAUCUCUUGGCUCUCGCAUCGAUGAAGGACGCAGCGAAUCGCGAUAAGUAAUGUGAAUUGCAGAUUUUCCGUGAAUCAUCGAAUCUUUGAACGCACCUUGCGCUCCUUGGUAUUCCGAGGAGCAUGCC